UACGGGGGGAGCAAGCGUUGUUCGGAUUUACUGGGCGUAAAGGGCGCGUAGGCGGUCGUGACAAGUCACUUGUGAAAUCUCCGGGCUUAACUCGGAACGGUCAAGUGAUACUGUCGGACUAGAGUACAGAAGGGGCAACUGGAAUUCUCGGUGUAGCGGUGAAAUGCGUAGAUAUCGAGAGGAACACCUGCGGCGAAGGCGGGUUGCCUGGGCUGAUACUGACGCUGAGGCGCGGAAAGCCAGGUAGGGAGCGAACGGGAUUAGAACCUCCGUGUCAGUCCAAGCCAU
rnacentral:rRNA from 1 species